UGAACAUGCAGCUGUGGGAAAAAGCCUGGAGAUGCUCUGGGACACAGACCACUGUGCACCACAGAUUGCUGGCACCUGCGGAGCCGCAGAGCACGGCGGUGGGAGCUGACUCCCUCCCUGCCAUUUGGUGGCUGCCUUUGGCUCACUGGUGAGGAUACUUUGUGGAUUCUUCUGCGCUGAUGUGAGAUACAACUUUGGAGUCAGCUCUGCGUAUAUGAAGAUGGGGGUCCAGUACAUGAGCCGUCAGCCACAUAUGGCUUUUGAGGGCUUGAAAUAUGACAAAUAAAAGCAAG
rnacentral:lncRNA from 1 species